rnacentral:tRNA from 1 species
UCCUUCGUGGUGUAGUGGUCAGCAUGCUCGACGCGUAACCGAGAGGUCCGUGGUUCGAUUCCCGGCGAAGGCA